GGGGGCAUAGUUCAGUGGUAGAAUGACUCUCUCCAAAAGAGAAGACCAGGGUUCGAUUCCUUGUGCCCCCGCCA
rnacentral:tRNA from 1 species